ACGAAUUCUUCUGUUCCGGACGACACACCGGCUUGUCUAGAUAACAUUCAAUUAGAAAACAACAAAUUCAAUCAUUGCUUUACAAUCUAAUCAACGUGUUAUGCGAUUCAUCCGCCCUUGAAUCCAUAAAGAAGAAAUCGGAAAUGACGGCGGAGACGGACAAGAAAUGACCAGUUUGGGAUGGUCAAAAGGGAUGGCGAGGAAACCCUUGAGAUAGGACAGCGAGGUAAUAGAGUUAUAGAACGGCGACUCAAUUGAGCCAACGGAAGGUUAAUUUGGCGCAACGCAGUUAUACGCAGCAGUAGACGCCAGAGGGAGAGAACAAAAAAAACAAACAGCGGGAAGUCCAACUGGCAAGAACGCGGGAGAGAAAAGGACAGAAAAGGGGCGGCACGGCAAACGAUUGCCAAGCACGACACGCUUCGGACACUAUUCCGAGUGCACAGGCCUGUCUUACAUACAUAGAGAUAUAUAUAUACGCCGGCAACCGUAUAAUCAGAGCGUGACUGGACUCAACCGACUUUCAUUUUCUUUUUCACCUUCAGAAAUAAAGAUAUUUCACAGCAAUGUAUAUUUUUUUUUAGUGUUGCUCGCAUGCGUGUUAUUAAAAAAAAAUAAACAUUCAAAAUAUU